GUAUGCAAUCUACCUUGUACAGGGGAAUAGCCCAGAGAAAUUUGGAUUAAUGCCCCAUAGUAUAAUUGAAUCGCAUGGUUUAAUUAUUAAAGUUCCAACGGUACAAGAUGAGCAUGCGUCCCAUUAGUUAGUUGGUAAGGUAACGGCUUACCAAGACAAUGAUGGGUAGGGGUCCUGAGAGGGAGAUCCCCCACACUGGUACUGAGACACGGACCAGACUCCUACGGGAGGCAGCAGUGAGGAAUAUUGGUCAAUGGGCGCAAGCCUGAACCAGCCAUGCCGCGUGCAGGAAGACGGUCCUAUGGAUUGUAAACUGCUUUUAUACAGGAAGAAACCCUACCACGUGUGGUAGAUUGACGGUACUGUAGGAAUAAGGAUCGGCUAACUCCGUGCCAGCAGCCGCGGUAAUACGGAGGAUCCAAGCGUUAUCCGGAAUCAUUGGGUUUAAAGGGUCCGUAGGCGGUCUUAUAAGUCAGUGGUGAAAUCCCAUCGCUCAACGAUGGAACUGCCAUUGAUACUGUAAGACUUGAAUGCUUAGGAAGUAACUAGAAUAUGUAGUGUAGCGGUGAAAUGCUUAGAUAUUACAUGGAAUACCAAUUGCGAAGGCAGGUUACUACUAAGUGAUUGACGCUGAUGGACGAAAGCGUGGGGAGCGAACAGGAUUAGAUACCCUGGUAGUCCACGCCGUAAACGAUGGAUACUAGCUG
rnacentral:rRNA from 1 species